GAUUUCUGGUUUGACAUGCCUGGCCCGCCGCGUCUACGCGUGUGUGUGCCGGUGCGUGUCUGCCAUCCUUCUGGAAAACGUGUCUGACCUUCACUGGUUCGGAUGCGCGAUCCAGAUCAUUUACUUUGAAAAAAUUAGAGUGUUUAAAGCAGGCUUGCGCUAUGAAUACAUUAGCAUGGAAUAAUAAUUUAGGACUUUGGUCUUAUUUUGUUGGUUUCUAGGACUAAAGUAAUGAUUGAUAGGGACAGUUGGGGGUGCUAGUAUUCAGCGGCCAGAGGUGAAAUUCUUGGAUUCGCUGAAGACUAACUUAUGCGAAAGCAUU
rnacentral:rRNA from 1 species